UACGUAGGGGGCUAGCGUUGUCCGGAAUCAUUGGGCGUAAAGAGCGUGUAGGCGGUUCGGUAAGUCUGUCGUGAAAUCCUGAGGCUCAACCUCGGGCGUGCGAUGGAUACUGCCGGGCUAGGGGAUGGUAGAGGCGAGUGGAAUUCCCGGUGUAGCGGUGAAAUGCGCAGAUAUCGGGAGGAACACCAGUAGCGAAGGCGGCUCACUGGCCCGGUACUGACGCGUGA
rnacentral:rRNA from 1 species